AGGGUUUGAUCAUGGCUCAGGACGAACGCUGGCGGCGUGCCUAAUACAUGCAAGUCGCAGCGAAUCUUUUGGGAGCUUGCUCCCAAAAGAUUAGCGGCGGACGGGUGAGUAACACGUGGGCAACCUGCCUAUAAGACUGGGAUAACUUCGGGAAACCGGAGCUAAUACCGGAUACGUUCUUUUCUCGCAUGAGAGAAGAUGGAAAGACGGCUUUUAGCUGUCACUUAUAGAUGGGCCCGCGGCGCAUUAGCUAGUUGGUGGGGUAAUGGCUCACCAAGGCGACGAUGCGUAGCCGACCUGAGAGGGUGAUCGGCCACACUGGGACUGAGACACGGCCCAGACUCCUACGGGAGGCAGCAGUAGGGAAUCUUCCGCAAUGGACGAAAGUCUGACGGAGCAACGCCGCGUGAACGAAGAAGGCCUUCGGGUCGUAAGGUUCUGUUGUUAGGGAAGAACAAGUACCAGAGUAACUGCUGGUACCUUGACGGUACCUAACCAGAAAGCCACGGCUAACUACGUGCCAGCAGCCGCGGUAAUACGUAGGUGGCAAGCGUUGUCCGGAAUUAUUGGGCGUAAAGCGCGCGCAGGUGGUUCCUUAAGUCUGAUGUGAAAGCCCACGGCUCAACCGUGGAGGGUCAUUGGAAACUGGGGAACUUGNAGUGCCGAAGAGGAAAGUGGAAUUCCAAGUGUAGCGGUGAAAUGCGUAGAGAUUUGGAGGAACACCAGUGGCGAAGGCGNCUUUCUGGUCUGUAACUGACNCUGAGGCGCGAAAGCUGGGGAGCAACCAGGAUUAGAUACCCUGGUAGUCCACGCCGUAAACGUGAGUGCUAAGUGUUAGAGGGUUUCCGCCCUUAGUGCUGCAGCUAACGCAUUAAGCACUCCGCCUGGGGAGUACGACCGCAAGGUUGAAACUCAAAGGAAUUGACGGGGGCCCGCACAAGCGGUGGAGCAUGUGGUUUAAUUCGAAGCAACGCGAAGAACCUUACCAGGUCUUGACAUCCUCUGACAAUCCUAGAGAUAGGACGUUCCCCUUCGGGGGACAGAGUGACAGGUGGUGCAUGGUUGUCGUCAGCUCGUGUCGUGAGAUGUUGGGUUAAGUCCCGCAACGAGCGCAACCCUUGAUCUUAGUUGCCAGCAUUCAGUUGGGCACUCUAAGGUGACUGCCGGUGACAAACCGGAGGAAGGUGGGGAUGACGUCAAAUCAUCAUGCCCCUUAUGACCUGGGCUACACACGUGCUACAAUGGAUGGUACAAAGGGCUGCAAACCUGCGAAGGUAAGCGAAUCCCAUAAAGCCAUUCUCAGUUCGGAUUGUAGGCUGCAACUCGCCUACAUGAAGCCGGAAUCGCUAGUAAUCGCGGAUCAGCAUGCCGCGGUGAAUACGUUCCCGGGCCUUGUACACACCGCCCGUCACACCACGAGAGUUUGUAACACCCGAAGUCGGUGAGGUAACCUUUAUGGAGCCAGCCGCCUAAGGUGGGACAGAUGAUUGGGGUGAAGUCGUAAGCCAAGGUAGCC
rnacentral:rRNA from 1 species